ensembl:lncRNA
UCCAGUCCGCGUCAACAGCCCUGUCCUCAAAUUUGAUUGGCCGAGCGGCCUUCCAAGUGAGCAAAAGGGACAUUUCAAUGUUUCUUUGUGUUAACCCAACCAGAGAGUAUAUUAUUAAUGCGAUCAAAUUAGUGUUUACAUCAAACGAGAAGACAGAUAAGCAUUUUUUAUAGUUUGAGCGUUUGUGAUUUUUUUAAUGAUGUUAUCUCCAGCGGUUUCUCUCGCCAGUGAAAAAUAAAACCCGGAGUGGAUUUCAAAUAUGAGCGAUUACAGAACGCCUCUGAGCUCUGAGUGGGUGAUAAAUCCCCUCCACUCAUAUUCUUAGUUCCAUGCCGACGUUUAGUCUGUGGGUUGCUUGGUGACUAGGAAAGCGUGUAACUUUGGCCUAAUAAUGAACUUUUCAUGGCGAAGAAGAAAUACACGAACUAACUGGCCACUUCAGAGACAGAGAGAGAGGGAAGGAAACGUUCAAGAUUCUGGAUGAGGGACAGAGCGGAUGGAGAAGGGGAAAGGCUGGAUACAAAGGGAGAGAGAGGAACUCAAGUGCUUGAACGCAGGAUCCAUCUGUUCGGUGUAUCGUCUGAUUUCCCCCUCCCAGCACCCUCCUCUUUCUCUUUUCCUCCCUCACCUCCCAUUAAAACCACGUAAGCCUGAUUUAUCAAGAAUUGGCUCUCAGGUAUGUGUGUGUGUGUGUGUGUGUGUGUGUGUGUGUGUGUGUGUGUGUGUGUGUGUGUGUGUGUGUGUGUGUGUGUGUGUGUGUUUCUUAACAGAACUGAGGGAACGUAUAACUGUGUUUCAUUACCGCUGUAAGAGACGUUAAGAUAAUCAUUCAAAUCGCUCAGAGUCGUACCCCACCCGGCUGCUAAUUCAAUCUGCCCACAGCAAAACAUGCCAAACAACAUCCAUUAUGGUCACACAGUUAAUUGGCAGAGGGUGGGGGCUCAGGCUUGAGUCAGGGGGGAAGCGUUGCAGCGGACAAAAGCAAUCUUGUCUUUUCACCGGUUUGAGAUGGUGGAACACAGCAAUGCUCUUGCAAUGCUUCGUAUUGUCAUUAGACAACAGACAAAGACACACAGGACAAUAAUAUAAACUGCUGGUGGGAUGAUGUUAAAAAUAUGUUCUGCAAUUUUAUAUAUUUGGGCUUCUAUUAAAAAUAUUAGUAAAUAUUAUAAAUGUGCUUCUAAAAUAUCACCAUGCUUGUAGCUUUUAAACGUACUUAAUCUGUUUAGAAUUAAGAUUUUAAAUUAUUUACAAGCCCUUGCUGUUUUGGAGCCAGAAAAAUACUAUUCUGGUUUAAA